AACGAACGCUGGCGGCAUGCCUAACACAUGCAAGUCGAACGAGACCUUCGGGUCUAGUGGCGCACGGGUGCGUAACGCGUGGGAACCUGCCUUUAGGUUCGGAAUAACUCAGAGAAAUUUGAGCUAAUACCGGAUGAUGUCUUCGGACCAAAGAUUUAUCGCCUUUAGAUGGGCCCGCGUUGGAUUAGCUAGUUGGUGGGGUAAAAGCCUACCAAGGCGACGAUCCAUAGCUGGUCUGAGAGGAUGAUCAGCCACACUGGGACUGAGACACGGCCCAGACUCCUACGGGAGGGAGCAGUGGGGGAUAUUGGACAAUGGGCGAAAGGCUGAUCCAGCAAAGCCGGGUGAGUGAUGAAGGCCUUAAGGUUGUAAAGCUCUUUUACCCGAGGUGAUAAUGACAGUAACGGGAGAAUAAGCUCCGGCUAACUCCGUG
rnacentral:rRNA from 1 species